rnacentral:misc_RNA from 1 species
UUUCCGUAGGUGAACCUGCGGAAGGAUCAUUAAAGUUAUAGUCCCCCGGCCCUCUGGGCUGGGGUCUUCUAUACCACCCUUUGUUUAUUACACCUUUGUUGCUUUGGCAGGCCUGCCCUCGGGCUGCUGGCUCCGGCCGGCUCGCGUUUACCAGAGGACCUAAACUCUGUUUGUAUAUGAAGUCUGAGUACUAUAUAAUAGUUAAAACUUUCAACAACGGAUCUCUUGGUUCUG